UACGGAGGGUGCAAGCGUUAUCCGGAUUCACUGGGUUUAAAGGGUGCGUAGGUGGGCAGGUAAGUCAGUGGUGAAAUCUCCGGGCUUAACCCGGAAACUGCCGUUGAUACUAUCUGUCUUGAAUAUAGAGGAGGUGAGCGGAAUAUGUCAUGUAGCGGUGAAAUGCUUAGAUAUGACAUAGAACAUCGAUUGCGAAGGCAGCUCGCUACACUAUUAUUGACACUGAGGCACGAAAGCGUGGGGGAUCAAAUAGG
rnacentral:rRNA from 1 species